rnacentral:rRNA from 1 species
GACAGCAGUAGCCACGGUAACACGGAGGGUGCAAGCGUUAAUCGGAAUUACUGGGCGUAAAGCGCACGCAGGCGGUCUGACAAGUCAGAUGUGAAAUCCCCGGGCUUAACCUGGGAACUGCAUUUGAAACUGUCAGGCUGGAGUCUUGUAGAGGGGGGUGGAAUUCCAGGUGUAGCGGUGAAAUGCGUAGAGAUCUGGAGGAAUACCGGUGGCGAAGGCGGCCCCCUGGACAAAGACUGACGCUCAGGUGCGAAAGCGUGGGGAGCAAACAGGAUUAGAUACCCCGGUAGUCCCUGUCUCUUAUAC